UGCAUUUCAUCACCUACUCCCAUCA
rnacentral:miRNA from 1 species